UAAUACGUAGGGGGCAAGCGUUGUCCGGAAUUAUUGGGCGUAAAGCGCGCGCAGGCGGUCGGGUAAGUCUGAUGUCAAAGCCCGGGGCUCAACCCCGGUACGCAUUGGAAACUGCUCGACUUGAGUGCAGAAGAGGAAAGCGGAAUUCCACGUGUAGCGGUGAAAUGCGUAGAGAUGUGGAGGAACACCAGUGGCGAAGGCGGCUUUCUGGUCUGUAACUGACGCUGAGGCGCGAAAGCGUGGGGAGCAAACAGGAUUAGAUACCCUGGUAGUCCACGCCGUAAACGAUGAGUGCUAGGUGUUGGGGGUUUCAAUACCCUCAGUGCCGCAGCUAACGCAAUAAGCACUCCGCCUGGGGAGUACGCUCGCAAGAGUGAA
rnacentral:rRNA from 1 species